rnacentral:rRNA from 1 species
AUGAUGUGGUUUAAUUCGAUGCAACGACGAAAACCUUACCUACCUUUGACAUGUACGGAAUUCGCCAGAGAUGGCUUAGUGCUCGAAAGAGAACCGUAACACAGGUGCUGCAUGGCUGUCGUCAGCUCGUGUCGUGAGAUGUUGGGUUAAGUCCCGCAACGAGCGCAACCCUUGUCAUUAGUUGCUACAUUUAGUUGGGCACUCUAAUGAGACUGCCGGUGACAAACCGGAGGAAGGUGGGGAUGACGUCAAGUCCUCAUGGCCCUUAUAGGUAGGGCUACACACGUCAUACAAUGGAUGGUACAAAGGGUCGCCAACCCGCGAGGGGGAGCCAAUCCCAUAAAACCAUUCGUAGUCCGGAUCGCAGUCUGCAACUCGACUGCGUGAAGUCGGAAUCGCUAGUAAUCGUGGAUCAGAAUGUCACGGUGAAUACGUUCCCGGGUCUU